rnacentral:rRNA from 1 species
UAGGGAAUCUUCCACAAUGGACGCAAGUCUGAUGGAGCAACGCCGCGUGAGUNAAGAAGGGUUUCGGCUCGUAAAGCUCUGUUGUUAAAGAAGAACGUGGGUAAGAGUAACUGUUUACCCAGUGACGGUAUUUAACCAGAAAGCCACGGCUAACUACGUGCCAG